GAAUGCAGAGAAGAAGACUCAGUCAUUCAGCCACCAGGAGAUGUGAUCGCUACUGAGGGAGAACAGGUCACAAUGGAUUGUCAAUUUGAUACUCUUGAUACAAACCCGUACCUGUUCUGGUACAAGCAGGGAGGUAAUGACUUCCCAAAGUGUAUGCUGAGGCAGAGCUAAGAUGAGAGGUUGAGAGAUGAUUCUCCUCUAACUGACUGGAACAGAGGGAUGUCUUCAGUUCUGCCUCCUGAUAACACACUGUUACAACCAUCACCAUGUUUCUCUACCCAGUGUUUCUCCUCUCUGCACUUGUUGGUGGCAGUUAUGAAAAUAACUUAAAACCAACUUCAGAGACAGAACAUGGCAUGGAGGUAAGCAGUGUUACACUGUCUUGCAACUACUCUGGAUCAGUAGACUCUUCAAUGGUAUCGUCAAUAUCCCAGAUCAGCACCGCAAUUCAUCCUCUAAACUACAGUCACCUUAAAGCCCUCUGUAUUUAGAGCUGAACCUGAUGACCCUCGACUGUCUGUUAAUCUGAAUAAAGAGAGAACCUGUGUGGAUCUGGAGAUCUCCUCUGCUGAAUUGACAGACUCUGCUCUGUACUACUGUGCCCUGAGGCCCACAGUGACAGGAAACCCCUCUAAUAAACUCCUCUAAUGCAUAUUUUAGCGCAGGGGUGAGGCGUCCUACUGUAGGUUC
ensembl:lncRNA